AUUAGCUUUGGCUAUCAGAUGUCAGAGGUGGGAAUCCCAUUACAUCCAAGCUGACCUACUCCAACUGCAAGUUGGAGACCCAGUGCUGAAAUCUCAGAGGCAAACAUCUCAGCAGACAGAAAAAAAACUACAUGAGUGGAAACCAUCAAAGCUAGCCCUGAGCCAACAUGAAAUGAAGGACUGGAUAACCUUGCAGGCUCAGAGGAGUUAAGGCUGGGAAUACUGGGUAAAAGUUCAUUGACCUCUCCCAGGCAACCAGCUGAUUUUCAUCCAGGCUGGGGGGAAAGGAAUGAGAGGAAUGCAUUGAUGUGUAGAGACAAACAACAGAACUGUGUUCACUCGAGAGGACUGAUACAAGAAGAGAAUGAGCCUUAAGAUAACCAGUGAGAAACUUUGCUGCAUGAUACACUUGCAUUAUGUAAUAAAAUCACUAUGGCUAAUCCCUUGUAGAAAAAUGAAGCCUAAUCCAGCUGCCAAGAGAAGAAAUGGACAUUACUUCUACUCCUUUCUGAUCCUUUCUUUGCUGUGAGUUCAGUGUGACUCAUGAGCCAUGUUGUACAGCAGGCUUUAAAAAAGAAAAGCUGAUUGUUCAGAGCAGGUUGGUUCACUUAGAGCUGUGUGACCUUCCCUGUCUGCAUCAAGGGACCAAAGGGAAACAGGCAAAGCCUACCUGAUGAAUUAUAAAAAAAUAAAAAUGUCUGUUGUGACAGUGAAUGUCUGGUGGGUAAAUGUGAA